CGGGGUGUGGCGCAGUCCGGUAGCGCAUCUGCUUUGGGAGCAGAGGGUCGUGAGUUCAAAUCCCACCACCCCGACCA
rnacentral:tRNA from 1 species